GCCUAGUUAGCUUAGUUGGUUGUGCGUCUGCCUUGUAAGCGCUAGGCCGCGGGUUCGAUUCCCGCCCGGGGC
rfam:Asian citrus Psyllid, Diaphorina citri - Florida Strain, whole genome shotgun sequence.